AAGCGCCCAGGCACGCGGCCCGAUCGGCGGCCCGCGCGGUGACGCGGCCGUGGCGGUAGCUGCGGCCGCCCCUCCGCGCCCCCCGGAACUCCGCGGCGGUGCCGCCUCCGCUCGUGGAAGUGGCCGCGGCGGGCCGCUCAGCGGCAGCCGGCUGCUCCCCCGAGGCCGGCGGCUGGGCCGGGGGCUCCGACCUCGGGGAGCCUCCGUGCGGCCUCAGUCCCGAGCUGUCCGGCCCCAGCCUGUGCGAGGCCAGGCCCCAUCCGCCCCCUGGAGCUGGACGGCAGGUGCCGCAGGUCGGGCUCCGGAGCGUGGUGUGCGGAGCCGCCGGGCUGACCGACCGGCGGGAGUCGGCCUGGGGCCCCUCCCCAAACUCCACGGCUGGGCUCCCUGAGCCUUGGGCCCCUCCACGGUGAAGCAGGAUGGUUGUGAGCAUUCCAGAUUGCCGUGUGAGAGGACAUCCCAUUAAGCAAAUGAUUCAGAUGGAACCACUUUGAGGAAGAAAGUUCAUUUGGAAGAAUCAUCCCAUUUUCAGAAAGCCAGGUUUUUGUUGUUUGCUGAUUCAUCUAAUGGGAAUUUGAAUGCUGGUGGAAAACUGUACAGAAAAUCCAGAAACCAGCUGGAGAGAACCUAAGUAAAAGUGUAAAUUUACUGGAAGGAUACUUAGGAUCUCGUGGAAUCCAGGGAAGAGUCGAACAACCACGCCUUCCUCUGGGAGGGUUGGCCCAGGAAGUCCACUGGUUCCUGCAAAGCACUGCCAUCAGUGGCUCAGCUGCCACCUGCCACUCACUGUCUCUCUGUCAAAUCCGAAAUUCCCUGGAGAGUUCGACACACACACACACACACACACACACACACACACACACACAC